GGGUGUAAACAGGUGUAGACGGGUGUAGACAGGUGUAAACAGGUGUAGACGGGUUUUAAACAGGUGUAGACGGCUGUAAACAGGUGUAGAUGGGUGUAAACAGGUGUAGAUGGGUUUUAAACAGGUGUAGACAGGUGUAGACGGGUGUAAACGGGUGUAGACGGGUGUAGACAGGUGUAAAUAGGUGUAGACGGGUGUAAACAGGUGUAAACAGGUGU